GCUCAAAAGCUUUGAUGUUUGUUGCUUGCCCCUCCCUUCUCAACUUAGCUUCUAGUGCAGAUCUAUUCCAGUCCCAACAUUCUUCUAUUCAUUGAUUUUUUUUUUAAUUUAGCACUUAAGAGGUAAGGGGUUGAUGCUG